GGUCAGCGUUCAAUAAGUUCGAUCGAUGGAUGGUUCCGACGAGCUGGGAUGGCGGAGCGGUUUGUGCCAAACGUCCUGCAGAUGUCACUCUACCCCUACGCAAUGUCCAUCCCCGCAUCCAGGCCCUGGCCGCGUUACCUUCCUUCUGUCCUAUUUAUUGAGCGCCUACUUGCUAGGGGCGGAGCACUGGACUAAGCGCUUGGAAAGUACAACCGGGCAACCGAUCGAACCGAUCCCUCCCCAACUACGGAGAAGCAGCGUGGCUCAGCGGAAAGAGCCUGGGUUCGAAUCCCCGCUCCGCCCCUUGUCAGCCGGGUGACUGCGGGCGAGUCACUUCACUUCUCCGGGCCUCAGUUCCCUCAUCUGGAGAAGGGGGAUGAAGACCGGGAGCCUCACGUGGGACGACCUGAUUCCCCCGUAUCCCCCCCCCCCCCCCAGCGCUUAGAACAGUGCUCGGCACCUAGGAAGCGCUUAACAAACACCAACAUUGGUAUUAUCAACUAAGGGCUCGGCAGCGUGGCUCGGGGGCGAGAGCCCGGGUUUGGGAGUCGGAGGUCGUGGGUUCUAAUUCGUCCAUUCAUUCAUUCGUAUUUAUGGAGCGCUUACUAGGUGCAGAGCACCGGACUGAGCGCUUGGAAGGGACAGAUCGGCACCGGAUGGACGGUCCCUGCCCUUCGACGGGCUCAGGGUCUGAUCCGGGGGGAGACGGACGAGGACGAGGACGAUGGCGAUGAAUAGCGUCGAGGGGCCGCACGGCUCGUUGAAACGAUAGCAAUGAAUAGAAUCAAGGUGAUCCCGACUCCACCGGGUGUCGGCUGGGUGACUUCGGGGCAGUCACUUGACUUCUCCGUGCCCUCGGUGACCUCAUCGAAUGGGGAUGAAGACUGGGAGCCCCACGUGGGGCCACCCGAUGACCCCGUAUCCACCCCAGCGCCUAGAACAGUGCCCAACGCGUAGCGAGCGCUUAACAAAUGCCAUCAUCGUCGUUAUUAUUAUUAAUACGAGGCUCUCUGUGUCCGCUGCAGCCUCCUCGGGCCGAGGAAAGAGGGUGCCGUUCGCUCACGACGAGGCUUCCGUCCCCCACUCUACUUCCAGGGACCCAAGUACCCGUUCACACUCACCGAAACAUUACGAUUCUACGGUGAUGAGGGCACGUCCGGGAUCAGAAUCCACGUCCUCGAACCCCCGGACCCACGCUCUCCCCACUAGGCCCCGCCGCUUCUUCAUUACAAGACGAAGAGAGGCCUCCAGGGGCUCAUUCCCAAAUUCCCCAGCGUGGCUCAGUGGAAAGAGCACGGGCUUGAGGGGUCAUGAGUUCGAAUCCCGGCUCUGCCCCUUGUCAGCUGUGUGACCGUGGGCGAGCCACUUCAGUUCUCUGGGCCUCAGUGACCUCAUCUGUAAAACGGGGAUUAACCGUGAGCCUCACGUGGGACAACCUGAUGACCCUGUAUCUACCCCAGCGCUUAGAACAGUGCUCUGCACGUAGGAAGCGCUUAACAAAUACCAACAUUAUUAUUCCCCGAGCUGAGCCGUUCCUGGCGGGGAGCCGCUUCGUGCUCCGAACAACGGGCGCGGUCGGCAGAACCGCUUCCGCUUUCCCUUCCCGGGAUCACCGGGACGGGACCGGCUCCGGAGGUGAGUAAGGUAGGAAAUAAGUGGGAAAAGGGAAGCGGUGGAGCCGGCCGAGUCUCCCUCCGGGCUCGAUCCCAACUCAGUCUGGGCGUUCGGCCAGAGCGAAGCAACAGCUGGGCUUGGUGGAGGGAAGCUGGCCGGACUCCAUCUUUCUUUCCCUCCUGAGUCUGGAUUUUCCAGGCUUCGCACUGCCGGGGCUUGAACCGCUCGAUCCGUCAGUGGUAUUCAUUGAGCGCUUACCGUGGGCCGAGCUCUCUAACGCUUUAGAGAGCAUAAUACGAUAGGGUCGGUAGAGACCGUCCUUGCCCUUCGGCAAAGCGGAGGACAAGGACAGCAGGAAUUUCAUUCAUUCACUCAGUAGUGUUUAUGGAGCGCUUACUAGGUGCAGAGCACUGUACUAAGCGCUCGGAAUGGGCAGAUCGGCAACAGAGAGAGACCGUCCCCGCCCUCUGACGGGCGCACGGUCUAAUCGGGGGAGACGGACAGACAAGGACGAUAGCAAUAAAUCGGAUCUGGGGGAUGAACAGCUCGUUAAAACAAGAGCAAAUGAACAGAAUCGAGGCGACGACCGUUUCAUCAACAAAAUAAAUAGGGUCAUGAAAAUAUAUGCAGUCGAGCCGACGAGUACAGCGCUGAGGGGAUAAGGGGAUACAGUGCAGGAAUCCCACCUGGUCCAUCACCAGCCCCGAGAGGCGUCCUGGAGGCAGCGUGGCCUCCCGGGCCUGGGAGUCAGAAGGAUCUGGGUUCUAAUCCCACCUCCACCUCUCGUCUGCUCUGUCAUCUGUGGCAAGUCACUUCACUUUUCACCUCAGCUCUAUAAUGGGGAUUAAGACCGCAAGCCCCAUGAGGGACAGGGGCUGUGUCCGCCGUGAUUAGCUGGUUUCUAUCCAGCGCUUAGAACAGAGCUUGGCACAUAGUAAGCGCUUAACAGAUACCAUCGUCGUCAUCAUCAGGAGGCCCUACCACACCUCCAGACGUAGCAGAGUUCAGGCGGUGUGUUCCGCGGAGCGUGUCUUACCGGAUAGACCGCGGGCCUGGGAGUCGGAAGGCCGCGGGUUCUAAUCCUGGCUCCACCACCUGUCUGCUGUGUGUCCUUGGGCGAGUCACUUCACCUCUCUGGGCCUCAGUUCCCUCAUCAGUAAAAUGGAGAUUGAGACUGUGAGCCCCAGGUGGGACAGGGACCGUGUCCAGUCCGCUUUGCUCGUGGGACAACCCGAUUUCCCUGUAUCUACCCCGGUGCUUAGAACAGUGCUUGGCACAUAGUAAGCGCUUAACAGUUACCAUCAUUUAUUAUUAUUAUUAUUAUUAUUAUCAGAGGGGGAGAAAGACACUGAUGUAAAUCCCCCGAUUAGACCGUAAGCCCGUCACUGUCUCUAUCUGUUGCCGAUCUGUCCAUUCCAAGCGCUUAGUACAGUGCUCCGCACGUAGUAAGCGCUCAAUAAAUACUAUCGAAUGAACGAAUAAACUUACGGAUAUGGACGUAAGUGCCGUGGGGCUCGGGGCGGAGGUGGUGAAUGAAGAGAGCAAGCCAGGGCGAUGCAGAAGGGGGAGAGGAAAGAGGAAAUGAGAGCUUAGGGCUCGACCUCUUGGAGCUCAAGAUACAUCUAGGCCUCUCGGAGAUGUACUUUCAAUAAGGCUCUGACGGUAGGGAGAGUAAACUGUCGUAUCCGAUACGAAAAGGGAGGGUGUUCCAGGCCAGAGGUAGGAUGCGGUCCAAAGUUCGGAGGCGAAAUAGGGGAGAAAGAGGUAGUGAGUAGGCCGGCAUCAGAGGAGGCAGACGCGUGUGGGUCGUAGGAAAGCGGAGAGGUGAGGUUGGCGGGGGCAGACUGAUCGAAUGCCUCGAAGUCAGUCGUGAGGAGAUUCUGUUUGAUGCGGAGGUGGAUGGACGACCACCGGAGGUCCUCGAGGAGGGGGGAGACGUGGACUGAAUGUUUUCGUGAAAAAUGAUGCGGACAGCGGAAUGAAGUGUGGACUGGAGAGGGGAGAGACGGGAGAGGUGGGUCAGCCAGGAGGCUGAUGCGGUAAUCAAGGUGGGAUAGGAGAAGUGCUUGGAUCAGUGUGACAGUUCGGACGGUUGAAAUGAGGGUUUGGUGAUAGACCGAAUACGUGGACUGAACGAGAGAGAGCGGUCAAGGAUGACGCUGAAGUUAUGGGCUUGUGAGACGGGAGGGAUGGUGGUGCUGUCUACAGCGAUGGGAAAGUCGAGGGGAGAACGGGAUUCUAAGGAGUCCUGUUCUGGACACGUUAAGUUCGAGAUGACUGCAGCGAGCCCGUCAUUGGCUAUCUGUUACCGAACUGUACACUCCAAGCGCUUAGUACAGUGCUCUGCACAUAGUAAGCGCUCCAUAAAUACUAUUGAAUGAAUAAGGUCCAAGUAGAGAUGUCUUGAAGGCGAGAGGAAAUGCAAGCCUGCAGAGAAGGAGAGAGAUCAGGGCUGGAGUUGUAGAUUUGGGAAUCAUCGGCCUAGAGGAGGCAGUUGAAGCCCUGGGAGCGAAGGAGUUCUCCGAGCGUGGGUGUAAACGGAGAAUAGAAGGGGACCCCGAACUGAACCUUGCAAGAUCCCCCACAGUUAGGGGGUUGGAGGCGGAGGAAGGCGCCACGGAAGGGAUCGAGAAUGAGCGGCCAGAGAAGAUGCGGGAAGAUGUGGGAAGAUGGCUCCGGGAUAAUUUGGGGGAAAGCUCCCGAAACCUAGGUCUCCCAGUUGGGCAGAAACUGAGCUAGGGUUUUAUGAAAAAUGGAAGGGAUGAGGUUCUGGAGGGCGUUUGUUUUCAUUGUUCCUUUAAUGGCGUUUGGUAAGUGAUGAUGAUGAUGGUAUUUGUUAAGGAGUCCAUAAAAGAGAUCGAGAGAGGAGGAAAGCCAGGUGAGGACGGUGUCAGCGAAACCGAGGUUGGAUAACGUUCCCAGGAGAAAGGAAUGAUCUGCAGCGGUGAAGGCGGCCGAGAGGUCGAGGAGGAUUAGGAGGGAGUAGAGGCCGUUGGAUUUGGCGAGAAGGAGAUCACUGGUGAUCUUUGCGAGGAUGGUUUUUUUGGAGUGAAGGGGAUGGAAGCCGGGCCGGCGGGGGUGAAGGAGAGAAUUGGAAGAACUUGAGACGGCAGGAGUAGACGACUCGUCCGAGGAGUUUGGAGAGGAACGGAAGGAGGGAGAUGGGGCGGUAACUGGAGGGAGCCGUGGGUCGCGGAGGGGAUUUUUUAGGGUGGGGGAGACAUGAAAGCAGUGGGGAGGAAGCCACUGGCUAGCCAAAAGUCGAAGAUGGCGGUCAGGCGGGGAAGAAGGGAGAAGAAAGAAGGGAGAAGACUUCUCCCUUUUGAGUCAUCUAUGCGCUUGCGUCUGUGGCCUCUGGCCAUUCGAUACUAACCCCACAGCACCUAGGUACAUAGUUGUAAAUUCUAUUUUUAUAAAUUAUUUCUAUCAAUGCCUGUC
rnacentral:lncRNA from 1 species